GACGAACGCUGGCGGCGUGCUUAACACAUGCAAGUCGAACGAAGUGGCGAACGGGUGAGUAAUACGUGGGUAACCUGCCCUCCUUUUUGGGAUAAGCCUUGGAAACGGGGUCUAAUACCGAAUAAAGGGGGAUGGGCUGGCGGCCUAUCAGGUUGUUGGUGGGGUGAUGGCCUACCAAGGCGGUGACGGGUAGCCGGCCUGAGAGGGUGACCGGCCACAGUGGGACUGAGAUACGGCCGAGACUCCUACGGGAGGCGGCAGUCGGGGAUAUUGCCCAAUGGACGAACGCCUGAUGCAGCGACGCCGCGUGGGGGAUGAAGGCUUUCGGGUUGUACACCUCUAUCGCUAUCGAACGGGUAGGUGAAGAAGAAGCGCCGGCUAACUACGUGCCAGCAGCCGCGGUAAUAC
rnacentral:rRNA from 1 species